CGGAUGAAUUCAGGUUUCGCAUUUCUUUUAAUUCGUCGUGUUUCAAUAUGUAACUGUUUUAUAUUCAUAUUUAAGUUAAAGCUUUAUGUUUAAUUUACCUGUUAAAAGACAACACAUGUAUACCCAUUUUUGAUUAAUGUUGAAAUGGAUGUACAAAUUUGGAUUUUCAUAUCCUUUGGAUUUCAUUUUCUGUCCAUGAUUCUAUGUACCAAAAUCAAAGUUUUGUUUGGAACUAAAUUCCAUAUUAAGGAGUUUAAUGUGGAUACUGGCAGUGUAAAGCUACUUGUUGAGAAUCCAGGGUUAAUGUUUGCCAUGGAUUUCGAUAAUAAGAACAAAUAUAUUUAUUUUACACAAUAUGAUCAUCGUACAAUAAUGCGAUUUCCUUAUCCAGCACAGAAUGCAGUUAUACAGAAAUUUGUCGACACAGGCAGUGGUCCAGCAGGUAUUGCUAUCGAUUCCGAAAAUGGACAUGUUUAUUGGACUGAAUAUCAAAGUAACAGGCUUAUGCGGUGUAGUGUAACUAGAUCAAAUGAGGUCCAUAUAACAACUCUGACAAGCCCCUUUAGUGUACGAAUCGAUGGAUUAAACAGGGCUAAGAAAAAAGAUCCGACGGUUGUCACAGAAAUCUAAAACGGUGGAUAAAUAUAAGUAUAAACCGUUUUUACAGGUGGAUGUACGUCGCUGAACGCUUUAUACGAAUAAUAAAAGCAAGAUUUAAUUAUAGCGAAGCUCAUGGCAUUGUAGACUUAAAAACACGUGUUGACUAUAUGGAUUUAGAUAUGAAUGAAGACAAAGUCUAUUGGACAACUUUCCAUCAUCCUGGUAACUUAAAAUCAGCAAGUGUUAGAGGAUGUGAUGUUAAAACACUUUAUACAACAGGGCAUACAGAUCAAUUCUGUCCUAUUGGUGUCUAUGGUAGUGCCAUAUUCUAUACCAAUAACCAAAAGCUAUUAAUGCUGAAUAAAACACAAGGACAUUCACCAACUAAUGUGUAUACCGACAGUAACACCAUAUACAGUAUAUAUGUGUAUCAUCAAACAGGUAAUACAUUGUUUAGAUCAUUACUCUGUGUUUUUCAUUAAUUUGCAUCUUCAGUUACCCAAAUACGAAAGCAAAAUUCUCGUAAUUAUUUACAUGUCUAUAAUACAUUGCUUUUUUUCUCAAUUUAUUUUGUUUUUAUUUAUUAUAAUAAUUCAUUUAGUUAAUUUGAUUAUUUGUACCGUUAUUUUAUAAAAUUGUGCUAGCCAUUUCCAAAUAAUCAUGUAAUACUUUUGUAUUUUAUUUUACCACGAUAUAUACAUAAUAUUAGAUAAUUGAUUUUUAUUUUAUUUUACCACGUUAUAUACAAAAUAUCAGGUAAAUGAUUGAGCAACAACAAAGAUAUUAAAAAAAUAGAAGCAAACUAUGAUCAUUUGUUACGAAAAAUGUCGUGGCUCGGUUCGAUUUCAUUAAUGACAAAAUUGCAUUUUUGAAUAGCGAUUGUAUGUAAAACAAAAACUCAUCAAUGAUACCAUACUGGUAAUUUGGUACACCAGAGUGAGGCUUCGUAUAUAUAAGUUUAGUUAGUGGCGAUAUAAUCAAAAUAGAUGGUAUUAUAUUGCAGCUCUGACUGUUAUUUUGUGCAAACUUUUAUAAUUGUGAAAGACAAUUUAUCUCUGAAAAUUGUUCCUUGUAGAUUUGUUUUCGUUAUAAUCAAACAAUGAUUUUUUUCGCAUUGUUUUUGUUAUAUUGUAUCAAUGCUUAUUUGAGCAUUUAAAGUUUAUAUGUGAUAGCUUGUCCGUACAUAUUCAAGCUACUUAACAUAUUGCUUACGCUUAUUUAACGCAAUUCCCAUUUUUAACAUAUCUAAUAUGAUACUUCAAUUAUUGCUCUUGUUUUCAACUUUAUGUAGAUAAUAUAUGUUGUUUCCUUUUUAAUUUUAUGAGGGAAACUUCUUUAAAGAUUAGAAACACUUUAUUAAUCAAUGUGAAAUAUUGCUAAUUGAUUUGGACUGAAUAUAUAUAGCUCAUGUGCUUUUAAUUUGACAGAUUUGAUUUGGACUGAAAAUAUAUAACUAAUGUGCUUUUUAUUUGACAGAUUUGUAUCAUAAAUAUAUACCUUUAAAAUAGCCAAUUUAUUACAAUGAAUACGUUGUCUCAUGUUGAUGAUAUGCAAAUGAUAUGUAAAUUUAUUAUACACUUAAGUUUUUCAUUUUCAAUUUCUAAGAGGUAAGUAACAUUUAGUAUUUACAACAAAUUAUUAUAUUCAAAACAUUAUGCAUUUAAGUGUCUAAACAUGAAGACCUAACUCUGAAUGUAUUUCAAUCACACAAGACUAUUCUAUUCGUAUGUCAGCGAUCAUUUUUACAAACAAAUUUGUUAAUAGAUAAGAAGUUGUAAAUACAGAAAUUAAUGAUUACGUUUUAUUUAAUGCGACUAUUACGUCAGUAUCAAGGAUUCGCAAUACAGUGGCUAAACGGAUGAUCGAGAACAAUAGGAAAUUCACUCUUCUGAUGAAAAAGUCGAGAAAAUCAAUAGUAAACAAUGCCGGUGACGAUACUGAUUGAAAGUUAUUUCUAAACAACUAGCGUACAUUUUGAAUAAAUUAUUUGUUAAACUGAGAAAAUAGACAAGCACAGACAAGAUGUUUUAUGUUCAUUAUUUACAUUAUUCAUUAUUCAUUUGCAUUAGAAGCUUGUGAAACUGAAAUUCAAAAAAAUGUUAAUCUUUGAUGCAUAUUGUUUAAAAAAAAUAGUCCUUAGCCUGUUACAAUUUUCCAAAAUAUACCUAUUUUUCACAUCUUAAUUUUACGAGUACACCGGUCUGUUUUUGUCAAGUCAACUUUCAAUAUAGAAAUGUUGUCUUUUCGUGAAUAUAACAAUUAAAAAGUAAUUCCUGUACAGGUUAGAAAAUUAAAGAUAAAUAUUCUUAUAAAGUAGGUUAUCCGUUAAAAGAAUUUUACAAAAAAAAAUUAUACACUUUUUAAAGGUCGUUGAUUUCUGUACAUGUAUAUGAGGUCAUCUCGAUCUAUUUACAUUCAAUGUUUACAUCGGGAUAAGGUAUGUUUGAAUUUGCUUAGUAACUUAAUUUCAAAAGUGUUAAUCUUUGCUGCAUAUGAAUUGAUUUCAUUGAAAUUUUUGUCCAUGAACUUUACUGAUCUAACUGUACAUAUAUACGGAUAAUUCGCGUGAUCCGGAGAGAUAUACAGCCAGUAGAAAAUAAAUUGAAGUAGGUACUCAAGGAAUUUAUUCGCAUAGCAACAUUUUAAUUCAAAUUUACGAAAGCGCAUAUAACCUGAUGUACUCGUCGUUUGUUGUUUUAUUAAGGAAAUGAUAACAAUAUAUGAAAAUUUGUUUUUAUUUCAAUCUAAUUUUAUUGUUACUAUUUACCAGAAUGUUUCUUAUGAUUCUUUUUAAAACGAGCCAAACAUUGAACAGAUCAAGAUUUUUGUGGAGGAGGUAAUAUUUUGUCACUAGAUUUCCCUCUGAACAAUAACGCAUUACUUUCUGAAUUGACAGUAAUUAAAUCAUAGUUUCCCGAAGAUACACUAAUAGAAAUUUAGAGCAAAAGCAUAUCUGUUUUUAAUUCUAAACUGUAAUAAACAGAUCUUAAUUUGCGUCGCGUGUGAUGCAUGCCUGCAGGAGUAUCAUUACCCAGUCGUUAUCCAUUCACGUUCUAUUUGAUUUCAUAUGAAGUCCUCGUGUAUUUCAUUGGUUGGUUAUGUUCAAAAUUGGUAUUCGAGUGUUGAACAUCGAAAUCCUACUGUUGUCAUUUAUUUUUUCACUUUUACUGGUUUUUUUCUUAGAAAAACUUGAACGGAAGCAGUGUCAAAAAGUCUGAAUUUAUUCCAGAAUCACGUGACAUUACUAAACUAGAGGAAAAUUUCGGAACAGCAUGGUCUAAACGGAAAAUCCGGAUUUUAUCUCAGAUGCGUUUAGGAAAACACAAAAUCAAGACAUCUGUAAAGAAACAUGAGCAAAGAAAAGUACAAUAAAGAUGGGGAAUAAAGAGAAUAUUCAACAUGCCAAAGUUUAUGUCAAAACAUAACCUUAUGAUUUCUGAAGAUAUCUAAAGGAAACAGUAGCAUGAUAAAGUGCUGAGUUGGAACGUUACUCUUACAUAUAUACUUGGGAGUUUGACUCUAUUGACGAACAGCAACGGACUAUAAAGUCAACUGUGUUGAAUGGACACAUUUGAUAGUUGAUGACUAAGAUUUGAUUAAUAUCAGUAAAGUUCAAAGGAUGUCUGACAAACGAGAAACUCAGUAUUCCGUCACCUUCCCAUUAGUCGUUGGAGCAUUUCCACGAUUCGUGACAUACCUCCGUUGAUAAAAUUAGAAAAUAUAAAACAAAAGAUGUUUUAGUCUCUAUUGUGCAAAUACAGGAUUAAGUUCCACAAGCUUAAGUCUUUAGACUAUAGACUUUAGAAUAUGGCAGUUGUUAUCAAAUAGUCCGUUUCUAUGUAUGUUGGCGUUUGUUUUUGUUGCAGUUCAGUGUUUCUAUUAAUCCUUAGUUUUCCUCUUAUAGUUGAUGUGUUUCCCUCGGUUUUGGUUUGUGACCCGGAUUUGUUUUCGCUUACUCGAUUUAUGACUAUUGAACAGCGGUAUACUACUGUUGCCUUUAUUAGACAUCCUUGGCUUUCGAAUUUUGGGUACAAGCGUUCACAUAGUGAACGUUAAUCAUGAAAAGCGCUUCCAACGCAUCGAGUUAACAACGUCUUGUUUUCCUUGUCUAGCAAUGGACUGAUACCGCUGCUGGUUGACCGCUAGUGCGAAAUGAUAGCAACAGCUUAGUUAUCAGUGCUUCGACACAUAUAUGAUUCUGUUAAGUACUCAAUGGAUUAUUUUUGAGAUGAUUAAAAACUCUAAAGAACCA